ensembl:snoRNA Gm22319 predicted gene, 22319
CCUACCCCAGAGGUGCUGCUGGUGUGGCUAUUGUGUCACCUGUGUAGUGGCAGACAGGAGAAGUUAUGUCUAUGCUCAAUGUCCUGACCUAUAAACAUUGGAAUGAUUCGUAGCCUAACAUU